rnacentral:misc_RNA from 1 species
GUGAAUCAUCAAAUCUUUGAACGCAUAUUGCACUCUCUGGUAUUCCGGAGAGUAUGCCCGUUUGAGGGUCAGUUAAAUAAAAAUCGGGGUCUUUGCCACCUUUGGUGGUGACUCCUCCGAAUUGGGUCGUCUUUACCUUUCGGGAUAGUGACUUAAAAUUUUUUGUAUGAUAUCUGAACGUAUUUAAAUCUCUUUGUUACGUUUUGUAAUAUCGAUGGUUUAUUAGGGGUGA